rnacentral:rRNA from 1 species
AAGCGGAGGAAAAGAAACCAACUGGGAUUACCUUAGUAACGGCGAGUGAAGCGGUAAAAGCUCAAAUUUGAAAUCUGGUACUUUCAGUGCCCGAGUUGUAAUUUGUAGAAUUUGUCUUUGAUUAGGUCCUUGUCUAUGUUCCUUGGAACAGGACGUCAUAGAGGGUGAGAAUCCCGUUUGGCGAGGAUACCUUUUCUCUGUAAGACUUUUUCGAAGAGUCGAGUUGUUUGGGAAUGCAGCUCAAAGUGGGUGGUAAAUUCCAUCUAAAGCUAAAUAUUGGCGAGAGACCGAUAGCGAACAAGUACAGUGAUGGAAAGAUGAAAAGAACUUUGAAAAGAGAGUGAAAAAGUACGUGAAAUUGUUGAAAGGGAAGGGCAUUUGAUCAGACAUGGUGUUUUUUGCAUGCACUCGCCUCUCGUGGGCUUGGGCCUCUCAAAAAUUUCACUGGGCCAACAUCAAUUCUGGCAGCAGGAUAAAUCAUUAAGAAUGUAGCUACUUCGGUAGUGUUAUAGCUUUUUGGAAUACUGUUAGCCGGGAUUGAGGACUGCGCUUCGGCAAGGAUGUUGGCAUAAUGGUUAAAUGCCGCCCGUCUUGAAACACGGAC